UUGCUUUGGCAGCACAUAUACUAAAACUGGAACAAUACAGAGAAGAUUAGCAUGGCCCUUGUGCAAGGAUGACAUGCAAAUUCAUGAAGCGUUCCAUAUUUUU
rnacentral:snRNA from 1 species